GAUGAAGAACGCAGCGAAAUGCGAUAAGUAAUGUGAAUUGCAGAAUUCAGUGAAUCAUCGAAUCUUUGAACGCACCUUGCGCCCUUUGGCCAUUCCGAAGGGCAUGCCUGUUUGAGUAUCAUGAACACCUCAACUCUUCAUGGUUUUCCGUGAUGAGCUUGGACUUUGGGGGUCUUGCUGGCCUAUGGUCAGCUCCUCUAAAAUAAAUCAGCUUGCCAGUGUUUGGUGGGUAUCACAGGUGUGAUAACUAUCUACGCUUGUGGUUUUCCACCAGGUAACCUUCAGCAGUGGAGGUUCGCUGGAGCUCACAGAUGUGUCUCUCCUCAGUGAGGACAGCUCUUUGAAUGUUUGAUCUCAAAUCAGGUAGGACUACCCGCUGAACUUAAGCAUAACAAUAAGCGGAGGA
rnacentral:misc_RNA from 1 species